UGCCGCUUGCGAGGGCGUAUGGUGGAUGCCUUGGCAGACAGUACCGAUGAAGGACGUUUGAGGAUGCGAUAAUCCUAGGGGAGCCUCCAACAUGGCUUUGAUCCUAGGGUCUCCGAAUGGGGGAACCCGCCGGCCGUCAUGGGCCGGCACCGCCUAUGGGCGGGGGGUACGCAGGGAAGUGAAACAUCUCAGUACCUGCAGGAAGGGAUACUCCGUGAGUAGUGGCGAGCGAAAGCGGAUCAGACCAAACCGGUUGCGCGUGAUACCCGUCGGGGGUUGCGUUGCCGGUGUCGUGGGAUCACGUGUCCCGGUUCCGACGGGCCGGGCGGGAGUCAUAAAACGGCUUGCCAGGGGAACAGGCUUGAAGGCCUGGCCGUAGAGGGUGCCAGCCCCGUACCUGGACGUGAGCCGUCUUCCGAUCGUGUUGUCCCAAGUAGCGCGGGCCUCGUGGAAUCCCGCGUGAAUCAGCCCAGACCGUUGGGUAAGUCUAAGCAUACCUGUCUGACCGAUAGCGUACCAGUACCGUGAGGGAAAGGUGAAAAGCACCCCGGGAGGGGAGUGAAACAGUACCUGAAACCGUGCGCCCACAAACCGUCGGAGCCUCCUUGUGGGGUGACGGCGUGCCUAUCGAAAAAUGAGUCUGCGAGUCAGUGGCGGGUGGCGAGCAUAAGCCGUGUGGCGUAUGCGUAGCGAAAGCGAGUCCGAAUAGGGCGUUUUUAGUCGCUUGUCCUGGACCCGAAGCGGGAUGAUCUAGCCCUGGGCAGGUUGAAGCGCGGGUAAGACCGCGUGGAGGACCGAACCCACCUGGGUUGAAAACCGGGGGGAUGACCUGGGGCUAGGGGUGAAAGGCCAAUCAAAUUCCGUGAUAGCUGGUUCUCUCCGAAAUGCAUUUAGGUGCAGCGUCGGUCGAUUGCGUCGCGGGGGUAGAGCUACCGGAUGCUUGCGGGCCCUUGUUGGGUACCAACAGCAGCCGAACUCCGAAUACCGUUGACGUGUAUUCCGGCAGUGAGUCGGCGGGGGAUAAGCUCCGUCGUCGAGAGGGAGACAGCCCAGACCGUCGUCUAAGGUCCCGAAGCGUGUGCUAAGUGGGAAAGGAUGUGGAGUCGCAUAGACAGCCAGGAGGUUGGCUCAGAAGCAGCCAUCCUUGAAAGAGUGCGUAACAGCUCACUGGUCUAGUGGUUCCGCGCCGACAAUGUAGCGGGGCUCAAGCACACCACCGAAGACGCGGCAGCAAUCUUCAUGGUUGCUGGGUAGGAGAGCGUCCUGCGAGGGGCGAAGCGGCCGGGUAACCGUGCCGUGGACUUCGUGGGAGUGAGAAUGCAGACAUGAGUAGCGAGAGACGGGUGAGGAUCCCGUCCGCUGGAUGACCAAGGGUUCCGGGGCCACGUUCGUCGUCCCCGGGUGAGUCGGGUCCUAAGGCGAGGCCGACAGGCGUAGUCGAAUGGAUGAACGGGUGGAUAUUCCCGUACCGACCAUGGACCGGCAAAACCGAGACGGUGAGUACUAACCUCCGCCUCGUGGUGGUUCCUUCCUUCGGGUUGGUGUCGCCGCGUGGUGUUGGGACCGUAGCCGCAGUAGGUCAGCGCAGGGGUGACACGGAAUGGGAGCCGGCCGCGGAGGUGGUUUUCCGUGGUCAAGCACGCAGCCAGUCAUGUAGGCAAAUCCGCAUGGCAUGCAUGGCGAGGUGUGAUGAUGGGAGCCGUUAUGGUUCGAUAUCCGGUUGUCCAGGCCGUCGAGAAAAGCCUCGGCGUGAGGGCCAUGGCCGCCCGUACCCCAAACCGACACUGGUGGUCAGGUAGAGAAUACCAAGGCGAUCGAGCGAAUCCUGGUCAAGGAACUCGGCAAAUCACUCCCGUGCCUUCGGUAUAAGGGAGACCCGCUGGGGUGAACCGGCUAGCCCGGGGAGCUUUGGUGGGUGGCACAGACCAGGGGGUAGCGACUGUUUACCAAAAACACAGGUGCAUGCGAAGGCGAAAGCCGCUGUAUAUGCACUGACGCCUGCCCGGUGCCGGAAGGUUAAGAGGAUCCGUCAGUCCUUCGGGAUGAAGCGGUGAAUUCAAGCCCCGGUAAACGGCGGUGGUAACUAUAACCAUCCUAAGGUAGCGAAAUUCCUUGUCGGGUAAGUUCCGACCUGCACGAAUGGCGUA
rnacentral:rRNA from 1 species